rnacentral:rRNA from 1 species
CCAAACUCCUACGGGAGGCAGCAGUGAGGAAUAUUGGUCAAUGGGCGCGAGCCUGAACCAGCCAAGUAGCGUGAAGGAUGACUGCCCUAUGGGUUGUAAACUUCUUUUAUAUGGGAAUAAAGUUUUCCACGUGUGGAAUUUUGUAUGUACCAUAUGAAUAAGGAUCGGCUAACUCCGUGCCAGCAGCCGCGGUAAUACGGAGGAUCCGAGCGUUAUCCGGAUUUAUUGGGUUUAAAGGGAGCGUAGGCGGACGCUUAAGUCAGUUGUGAAAGUUUGCGGCUCAACCGUAAAAUUGCAGUUGAUACUGGAUGUCUUGAGUGCAGUUGAGGCAGGCGGAAUUCGUGGUGUAGCGGUGAAAUGCUUAGAUAUCACGAAGAACUCCGAUUGCGAAGGCAGCCUGCUAAGCUGCAACUGACAUUGAGGCUCGAAAGUGUGGGUAUCAAACAGGAUUAGAUACCCUGGUAGUCCACACGGUAAACGAUGAAUACUCGCUGUUUGCGAUAUACGGCAAGCGGCCAAGCGAAAGCGUUAAGUAUUCCACCUGGGGAGUACGCCGGCAACGGUGAAACUCAAAGGAAUUGACGGGGGCCCGCACAAGCGGAGGAACAUGUGGUUUAAUUCGAUGAUACGCGAGGAACCUUACCCGGGCUUGAAUUGCAACUGAAUGAUGUGGAGACAUGUCAGCCGCAAGGCAGUUGUGAAGGUGCUGCAUGGUUGUCGUCAGCUCGUGCCGUGAGGUGUCGGCUUAAGUGCCAUAACGAGCGCAACCCUUAUCUUUAGUUACUAACAGGUCAUGCUGAGGACUCUAGAGAGACUGCCGUCGUAAGAUGUGAGGAAGGUGGGGAUGACGUCAAAUCAGCACGGCCCUUACGUCCGGGGCUACACACGUGUUACAAUGGGGGGUACAGAAGGCAGCUACCUGGCGACAGGAUGCUAAUCCCAAAAACCUCUCUCAGUUCGGAUCGAAGUCUGCAACCCGACUUCGUGAAGCUGGAUUCGCUAGUAAUCGCGCAUCAGCCACGGCGCGGUGAAUACGUUCCCGGGCCUUGUACACACCGCCCGUCAAGCCAUGGGAGCCGGGGGUACCUGAAGUACGUAACCGCAAGGAGCGUCCUAGGGUAAAACUGGUGACUGGGGCUAAGUCGUAACAAGGUAGCCGUACCGGAAGGUGCGGCUG